UCCAUCUCUCCGGUUGAGCUCUUGCUGUAGGAGCACCAACCCGACGAGCAUCAUUUUUGUCGGUGCGUAGGGGAAAGCUAUAGGCGAAGCCACAGGAACCCCCUUUGCCUGACAGGAGCUUUACAAAGGAAGGUCAGUCACCAGGUACCCAUUACGCAGGCAAAGGAAGCUGAGACUCAUGCAAAGCCUCUGGCAAAGGUGGGAACAAAACCUCGGGCUGUGAUCCUGCAUUAACAGCCGUCUGGAUCUGCCUGCCUGGAGCUCCUUACAGAUGAGCAGUCUGGGACUGGACCGGUGAAGACAUAACUCCCUUUGUGCCUGCUGUUACUGCUGAUCUCCCAAAACGCUGCCUCUCGCUGCUGCUGGUGCCACCCAGACCUCUCCCACCGCAGCACUUGGUCGCAGCAGGGCUCAACACCCGGCUACUCCCACUGAUGUCUCGAGGACGAGGCAAGAGGGGGAAGACACAAGAGGAGAUGUGGAGAAGUGUUGGAGAAGAGCAGAGAACAAAGCUAGAGGAGCGAGCUGCUACAGGAACCAGCUUUACUUCUUGGCAUCGCAUUCUGCUGCAGCAUGGCUCCAGGUCCCUGAGCCAAGGCCAGAGCUGUGGUCUGAACAUACCUGUGGUAUGAAGAUACCUGUCAGGAGCCAGUGCAGCUGCAACAGCCCUGGGGCAAGGCCGUUUUGCUGGAGAGAUCAUGGUCCUCUCUCUUCUUGCCUGAGACUGCAGGGAAUGUCACUGAAAUUUUGAAUCCUGAGAGACUUUCCCACCUCAACUUCUCUUUGUCCCCUUCACUUUGUGGGAGGAUGGCAAACCAGCACUGGAGAAGCACCUUUUAAUGCCUCAUCUGCAGAUUUUUUUCAUUUCUCCAUUUGCAUAUUUGGGUCUCCCAUAAACACAGCCCGUGUCUGGGUGCAGGUACAUGGCAUGCUCAGCUAUGUCAUUGGAGUAUCAUGUGCCACCAAGGCAGCAGCAAGCCCAGCUAUGUCCAACGUGGCUGCUGGGUGGUAGCAGGCACUAAGCCAGGGAAAGGAGGGCUGGCCUUGCAGCACUGGGCUGGCCCUCAAAGGAGCUCCAUUUCUGCUCCACAUACGCAAAUCUUGGUGGUCUUGGCAUGCAACUCCUCCAAAAAGCUCUACGGUGUUUCACUGGUGUAUCUCAGGGGUCUGCUGGUAGCAACCUGAGCCUGCACUUAAUUGCAGUGGGAGCAGCAGAAGUUACUGUUUCUUGCUGGAAUUGGCGAGAAUUUGGCUUCUUUUUCUUUUCCCUUAGAAAUUAUUACAAAUUUUGAAAGUCAAUUUUUAGAACAAAGGCAGAUGAGUUUUAAAACAUAGGUUUUGGUCAUCAUUCCCAUUUUAGGGGAGUUGUGUAAGUGGACACAAGAUGUCCUUUGGUCUCUCAGAGCCAGAAAUGUUAUGGUGGUAUCACCUCCUCUUCUUUGGUGCCUCUGCCAAACCCUGGCUGUGCCAAGAGCAUGCCAGGGCAUUGCCAAGGGUACCUGCUGCUGAGAUGCAAUUUAUUCCUCUUUCCCCCAAAGCUGGGGGGUCUGUGGAUCACAGCUCUCUUGGUUCAGUGUCCAUCCACUGCAUUUAUUUCUUUGGAGAGACUGAGCCUAAAACUGUACUAAUA